AUGAUUGAUUGGCCAAGAGAUUCAUCAGUGUUCUGUCAAGUGGAGAUCAUCAGGCCAACCAGGCAGGCCAUUGAGUUUGCUUACUUUGGUGAAGUCAUGCCCAUAUAUGUGCUUGUAACUGCAGAGCGCCAGCCUGAGCUGUGGGAUGCUCCUCUUGCUGAACAUCUCGAGGACGGCGGCCUCGUCGACCGAUCCCGUGCCGCCGCCGUUCUUGGCGUCGUACAAUCGCCUGGCGUCGCAUUUCGCGAUGUGCUGGCUGGGUUCAUCGUGGUGCGACUUGUGGGAGGUUGCCAGAGCUAUCAAUAG
rnacentral:rRNA from 1 species